UGGGGAAUCUUGCGCAAUGCGCGAAAGCGUGACGCAGCAACGCCGCGUGGGUGAAGAAGGCCUUCGGGUCGUAAAGCCCUUUCAGUUGGGACGAAGCCUCGGUGGUUAACAGCCGCUCGAGGUGACGGUACCUUCAGAAGAAGCCCCGGCUAACUACGUGCCAGCAGCCGCGGUAAUACGUAGGGGGCAAGCGUUGUCCGGAAUCAUUGGGCGUAAAGAGCGCGUAGGCGGUCCGGUAAGUCCGCUGUGAAAGUCAAGGGCUCAACCCUUGAAUGCCGGUGGAUACUGUCGGGCUAGAGUCCGGAAGAGGCGAGUGGAAUUCCUGGUGUAGCGGUGAAAUGCGCAGAUAUCAGGAGGAACACCUAUGGCGAAGGCAGCUCGCUGGGACGGUACUGACGCUGAGGCGCGAAAGCGUGGGGAGCAAACAG
rnacentral:rRNA from 1 species